rnacentral:rRNA from 1 species
GGAGGGUGCAAGCGUUGUUCGGAAUUACUGGGCGUAAAGCGCGUGUAGGCGGCUUGGUAAGUCGGAUGUGAAAGCCCGAGGCUCAACCUCGGAAUUGCAUCCGAAACUGCCUCGCUAGAGUCCCGGAGAGGAAGGCAGAAUUCCCAGUGUAGGGGUGAAAUCCGUAGAUAUUGGGAGGAAUACCAGUGGCGAAGGCGGCCUUCUGGACGGUGACUGACGCUCAGACGCAAAAGCGUGGGUAGCAAACAGGAUUAGAUACCCUGGUAGUCCACGCUGUAAACGUUGUGCACUAGGUGUCGGGGGUAUUCACCCCUCCGGUGCCGCCCGCUAACGCAUUAAGUGCACCGCCUGGGGGAGUACGGCCGCAAGGCUA